ACUAAGCUAAAGCAGAAGCUUGGAUGAGUAAGAAGGCCCCACUCAUGGUUCACACCUGCUGCUGUGUUACCUGGAGCCUCAGUCACCUUUUCUGUAAAGUGGGGCUGGGAACAGGAGAUUGAUCAGAUGGCGUUAGAUUUGGCAAAUGCAGGCAUUUUAAAAAUGAGAAUUGGAGGAAUUGCUAUGAUUUACCCAAAGUUUGGAUCGCCAUAUGCAAACCCACCACGGACACCAUAAACCAUUCCGAUGCAAACUCUGCUCCUUCAAGUCCUCCUAUAACAGCCGGCUGAAAACACAUAUACUCAAAGCUCAUGCUGACUCAUCAUAUUCAGAGCCCCCAGAUGUUCAGCAGCAGUUGAACCACUAUCAGUCAGCUGCCCUGGCAAGGAACAACAGCCGUGUUAGCCCUGUGCCUCUUUCUGGGGCUGCUGCUGGCACUGAGCAGAAAACCGAAGCCGUGCUUCACUGCGAAUUCUGUGAAUUCUCCUCCGGCUACAUCCAGAGCAUCAGGCGCCAUUACCGGGACAAGCAUGGUGGGAAGAAGCUUUUCAAGUGCAAAGACUGCUCCUUUUACACAGGCUUUAAAUCUGCUUUUACUAUGCACGUGGAAGCUGGGCACUCAGCGGUUCCUGAGGAGGGCCCCAAAGAUCUUCGCUGUCCUCUCUGCCU
rnacentral:sRNA from 1 species